rnacentral:rRNA from 1 species
AUUGAACGCUGGCGGCAGGCCUAACACAUGCAAGUCGAGCGGAUGACGGGAGCUUGCUCCUUGAUUCAGCGGCGGACGGGUGAGUAAUGCCUAGGAAUCUGCCUGGUAGUGGGGGACAACGUUUCGAAAGGAACGCUAAUACCGCAUACGUCCUACGGGAGAAAGCAGGGGACCUUCGGUCCUUGCGCUAUCAGAUGAGCCUAGGUCGGAUUAGCUAGUUGGUGGGGUAAUGGCUCACCAAGGCGACGAUCCGUAACUGGUCUGAGAGGAUGAACAGUCACACUGGAACUGAGACACGGUCCAGACUCCUACGGGAGGCAGCAGUGGGGAAUAUUGGACAAUGGGCGAAAGCCUGAUCCAGCCAUGCCGCGUGUGUGAAGAAGGUCUUCGGAUUGUAAAGCACUUUAAGUUGGGAGGAAGGGCAGUAAGUUAAUACCUUGCUGUCUUGACGUUACCGACAGAAUAAGCACCGGCUAACUCUGUGCCAGCAGCCGCAGUAA